rnacentral:rRNA from 1 species
AACGAACGCUGGCGGCAUGCCUAACACAUGCAAGUCGAACGAGACCUUCGGGUCUAGUGGCGCACGGGUGCGUAACGCGUGGGAACCUGCCCUUAGGUUCGGAAUAACUCCCCGAAAGGGGUGCUAAUACCGGAUAAUGUCUUCGGACCAAAGACUUAUCGCCUUUGGAUGGGCCCGCGUUGGCUUAGCUAGUUGGUAGGGUAAAAGCCUACCAAGGCGACGAUCCAUAGCUGGUCUGAGAGGAUGCUCAGCCACACUGGGACUGAGACACGGCCCCGACUCCUACGGGACGCAGCAGUGUAGAGUAUUGGGCACUGGGCGCAAGCCUGGUCCAGCAGUGCCGCGUGAGUGGUGAAGGCCUUAGUGUUGUAAAGCUCUUUUACCCGAGAUGUUAAUGACAGUACCGGGAGAAUAAGCUCCGGCUAACUCCGUG